CUGAUGCUCCUGAAAUUAUACAGGUACUUUAUCUUCCCCCCUCUUUUUUUUUCUUUUGUUUCAUGGAUGGUUCUUCUGAUAAAUUAUCUUGUGCAUGCUAUAUAGAGUUUUCUUUUUCCUUUUUGGCGAUUUUUCAAGUUGUUCAACUUUGCAAUGGUAAUGACUUCCUGUUGAAGCCAUUCCUGGGAUAAUCCAAGUAUUGUUAUUUAACAAUAUAUAAUUUUUUAAAUCAAUGAAAACUUGCAAUUAGUUUUCUUCUCCACAGCAAAUAAUUGUUUUUACAUUUGUUGUAGGCAAGUAGAGCACAAUUUAGCAAUUAUGAUUUGCCUAUAUAUGCUUGCAUUAAACCUAUUUACGGGCUCUACACUAGUGGCAAUUUUAGUUUGCCAUUCAUUUUAUGUAGUUUUUGGAUUAGGUUUCUUUGGAAUGAGGCGGAAGUUCCAUGCGCAGCACAAUAUGGAAUGACCUUUCAUGUCAUGCCAUGGCAUCUAUAUUUCUUUGGUGUUCUUAACAGAGUCAUGGAUGAUUAAAGGGAAAAAAAAAAUCAUUUGAGCCACUGAAGUGCUCAAUUAUCAGCGACAAACCUGGUGUCCAGGCAGACACCUUGUAAUUGAGCUUUCCGUCUUUUAGGUCCCCUUGCUUAGUUUAUAUAUUGUUGCUUCUGCAUUGUGUUUGUUGCAGGGAAUUGCUGUUGCAUUGAAGAGCGCGAAUGAGAAUUUCCAGAGGAACUAUUAGAGUUAAUCCUUCUAAAUUACUGAUGAAUUUCCUAUAAAAAAAAUCUCCCAAAAAAAAAAGCAUUAGAUCAAAUGCAUGUUUUAAGUGGUCAGGGACUCAGUGGCAAGAUCUGUCAAUGGUCUGUGUUAUGUUGCUACAGUAUUCUUUCGAAACUAAUUAUCAGCUAACAUUAGCUGGAUUUUGUGCAUACAUCUCAACAGAUCAGGAUUUAUUUCAUUGAGAAGAUAGCUAACAGCUUGAUUUAUGUACCUGUCUC
rnacentral:misc_RNA from 1 species